CCUGGAUGUAAAUACAAAACGAGAGGAGGAUCCGGUUCCCAGGGGUGUACCCCUAGAGCGCCCUCUCAGCUCACCGGAGAAGACAAAGGGAUUUCUGCUGGCCGGAGCGAUGGAGCAAAGUGACAGAAGACCAGCCUCAGGAGAAGAAGAAGACGAGAGCACCCAAGAGACGAGGGAGUCCUGCAGCAGCCAACUGUCCAGUCUAGAGAUGGACUGCUCGGAGACAUACGGCGAUCAAACAGAAGGAUCCAACAACCAGGAGAUGAAGAGCGCCUCCAACAGCCUGGAGAUGAAGAGCGCCUCC